UUUACACAGACAGAAAUUAUUACAUAAUUAUCAAACUAAUAAUCGAAAAAAAGAUGAAUAUGCUUACCUUCAAGGUGAUCUUGAUAUUCAACUUCUUGUUCAUUUCGCAGUGUUAUGCAGCUAUACCAUGCCAGACAGUAGCUGAUUGCAAUAUUAAUUGUGGCAGCAAAGGAACUCCAAUUUGUAAAAACAACACUUGCUACUGCAACCGUUGUGAUUUAUACCCUCCAGAUGAUCCUACUGUUGAUGAUGAAUCUAGUUUUAUAAGUAAAAAUAAUUGAUUAUUAUUAUUUAUUCCGAUUACAUAUAAAAAUAUCGGUGAUGAUCCUUGAAAAAUAAUAUAACUAUAUUGGAAAAAAGGAUUUCAUUU